rnacentral:rRNA from 1 species
AAUAGAUACCCGGGUAGUCCUGGCUGUAAACGCUGAGUACUGGUUGGGAAGGGGGUUCGCCCCAUUCCGACGUAGCGAAAGCGUUAAGUACUCCGCCUGGGGAGUAUGGUCGCAAGACUGAAACUCAAAGGAAUUGACGGGGACCCGCACAAGCAGUGGAGUAUGUGGUUUAAUUCGAAGCAACGCGAAGAACCUUACCAGGUCUUGACAUCCCCCUGACCGGUACAGAGAUGUACCUUUCCUUCGGGACAGGGGAGACAGGUGGUGCAUGGUUGUCGUCAGCUCGUGUCGUGAGAUGUUGGGUUAAGUCCCGCAACGAGCGCAACCCUUGACUUUAGUUGCCAGCAAGUAAGGUUGGGCACUCUAGAGUGACUGCCGGUGACAAACCGGAGGAAGGUGGGGAUGACGUCAAAUCAUCAUGCCCCUUAUGACCUGGGCUACACACGUACUACAAUGGCCGGUACAACGGGAAGCGAAGGAGCGAUCUGGAGCGAAUCCUAUAAAGCCGGUCUCAGUUCGGAUUGCAGGCUGCAACUCG